rnacentral:rRNA from 1 species
CCAAGGGUUCGGCUGUUCGCCGAUUAAAGUGGCACGCGAGCUGGGUUCAGAACGUCGCGAGACAGUUCGGUCCUCUAUCCUCUGUGGGCGUAGGAAAAUUGAGGGGUUCAAACUCUAGUACGAGAGGACCGAGUUUGACGAGCCUCUGGUGCACCGGUUGUCGCGUCAGCGGCAUAGCCGGGUAGCUAAGCUCGGAACAGAUAAGCGCUGAAAGCAUCUAAGCGCCAAGCUAUUCCCAAGAUAAAUUUUCCCUGAAGGAUCGUGGAAGACUACCACGUUGAUAGGCUGCUUGUGUAAUGAUGGCAACAUCUUUAGCUUAGCAGUACUAAUAAUCCGUUCGACUUGUUUCA